CCUACGGGGGGCAGCAGUGGGGAAUAUUGGGCAAUGGGCGGAAGCCUGACCCAGCGACGCCGCGUGAGGGAAGAAGGCCUUUGGGUCGUAAACCUCUGUUGUAUGGGAAGAAGGAAGUGACGGUACCAUACGAGGAAGUCCCGGCUAACUACGUGCCAGCAGCCGCGGUAAUACGUAGGGGACGAGCGUUGUCCGGAAUUACUGGGCGUAAAGGGCGCGCAGGCGGAUAUUUAAGUCAGCUGUUAAAGUCAUGGGCUCAACUCAUGGAUGCGGUUGAAACUGGGUAUCUAGAGUGCUGGAGAGGUAGGCGGAAUUCCCGGUGUAGCGGUGAAAUGCGUAGAUAUCGGGAAGAACACCAGUGGCGAAGGCGGCUUACUGGCCAGCAACUGACGCUGAGGCGCGAAAGCCAGGGGAGCGAACGGGAUUAGAUACCCUUGUAG
rnacentral:rRNA from 1 species